CCUACGGGUGGCAGCAGUGGGGAAUAUUGCACAAUGGGCGCAAGCCUGAUGCAGCCAUGCCGCGUGUGUGAAGAAGGCCUUCGGGUUGUAAAGCACUUUCAGCGGGGCGGAAGGCGGUGAGGUUAAUAACCUCAUCGAUUGACGUUACCCGCAGAAGAAGCACCGGCUAACCCGUGCCAGCAGCCGCGGUAAUACGGAGGGUGCAAGCGUUAAUCAGAAUUACUGGGCGUAAAGCGCACGCAGGCGGUCUGUCAAGUCGGAUGUGAAAUCCCCGGGCUCAACCUGGGAACUGCAUUCGAAACUGGCAGGCUAGAGUCUUGUAGAGGGGGGUAGAAUUCCCGGUGUAGCGGUGAAAUCCGUAGAGAUCUGGAGGAAUACCGGUGGCGAAGGCGGCCACCUGGACAAAGACUGACGCUCAGGUGCGAAAGCGUGGGGAGCAAACAGGAUUAGAUACCCUUGUAGUC
rnacentral:rRNA from 1 species